AACCACCUGAGUUGGGUAUGACUACCUGCUGAACUUAAGCAUAUCAGUAAGCAGAGGAAAAGAAACAAACAUGGAUUCCCUGAGUAACUGCGAGUGAAACGGGAAGAGCCCAGCGCUAAAGGUUGUUGGCCCCUGGCUGAUGACCGGUGUAGCGUAUAGAACCUUCGUUCGGCUUGUUCAGGCUGGCUUAAGUCUCGUUGGAACGCGGCGGCUAAGACGGUUUUACCCCGGUAAACCUGGCUGGACUUGGUGAGUGUUGGUUCUGGGAGUCGGGUUGUUUGGAAACGCAGCCCAAAGUUGGUGGAAACUUCACCUAAGGCUAAAUACGACCGCGAGACCGAUAGAAAACAAGUACCGUGAGGAAAGU
rnacentral:rRNA from 1 species